rnacentral:lncRNA from 9 species
GUCGACGUGUGCAGAAGUCCUGCUAGUCUGGUCCUUGUUCGCCUCUGGGUACCAGCUUCCCUUGAGCAGCGCAGACGGCGGGGCCCGAGGCCAGGGGAGGAAGGAUUCGGCUUGCCGGAAUUUUGCAGGUCUUGUCGUUCCUAGCAGUACGCAGGGCUGGAAAGGGCAAGAAGAACGUGACCGCAUCAGUACAGCUUACUCUGUUCUAGGAGGAUCUUGGUGCCUGA